UACGUAGGCAGCGAGCGUUGUUCGGACUUACUGGGCGUAAAGAGUGUGUAGGCGGUGCUCUAAGUUCGGUGUGAAAUCUCCUGGCUUAACUGGGAGGGUGCGCCGGAAACUGGGGUGCUCGAGCGUGGGAGAGGAAAGCGGAAUUCCUGGUGUAGCGGUGAAAUGCGUAGAUAUCAGGAGGAACACCUGUGGUGUAGACAGCUUUCUGGGCCAUUGCUGACGCUGAGACACGAAAGCGUGGGUAGCAAACAGG
rnacentral:rRNA from 1 species